GUAUGUUGACGUAUUCUGAAAGGGAGUACUUCUUCGGACAAUAUACAAGGUGCUGCAUGGUUGUCGUCAGCUCGUGCCGUGAGGUGUCGGGUUAAGUCCCAUAACGAGCGCAACCCCUAUCAUUAGUUGCCAUCAGGUCAAGCUGGGGACUCUAAUGAAACUGCCUACGCAAGUAGUGAGGAAGGUGGGGAUGACGUCAAAUCAGCACGGCCCUUACGUCCAGGGCUACACACGUGCUACAAUGGCCGAUACAGAGGGCAGCUACCUGGUGACAGGAUGCAAAUCUCCAAAGUCGGUCUCAGUUCGGAUCGGAGUCUGCAACCCGACUCCGUGAAGUUGGAUUCGCUAGUAAUCGCGCAUCAGCCAUGGCGCGGUGAAUACGUUCCCGGGCCUU
rnacentral:rRNA from 1 species